GCCCCUAUAGCUCAGGGGAUAGAGCACCGCCCUCCGGAGGCGGGAGCGCAGGUUCGAAUCCUGCUAGGGGCG
rnacentral:tRNA from 1 species